GGCACUUACAAGUACCUGGAGCUGGCUUACAUUUGUGAAUAUCCAUCUCCCCUUCCAGAGGAGUCUCUGUAAACAUGCUGGAACCACAAUAACAUCACAAUAAACAUGUACCAAAUAAAAUAUGUUAAAUCAGCA